GACGAACGCUGGCGGCGUGCUUAACACAUGCAAGUCGAACGGUAAGGCCCUUCGGGGUACACGAGUGGCGAACGGGUGAGUAACACGUGGGUGAUCUGCCCUGCACUUCGGGAUAAGCCUGGGAAACUGGGUCUAAUACCGGAUAGGACCACUGCCUGCAUGGGUGGUGGUGGAAAGCUUUUGCGGUGUGGGAUGGGCCCGCGGCCUAUCAGCUUGUUGGUGGGGUGAUGGCCUACCAAGGCGACGACGGGUGGCCGGCCUGAGAGGGUGACCGGCCACACUGGGACUGAGAUACGGCCCAGACUCCUACGGGAGGCAGCAGUGGGGAAUAUUGCACAAUGGGCGCAAGCCUGAUGCAGCGACGCCGCGUGAGGGAUGACGGCCUUCGGGUUGUAAACCUCUUUCAGCACCGACGAAGCGCAAGUGACGGUGGGUGCAGAAGAAGGACCGGCCAACUACGUGCCAGCCGCCGCUGUAA
rnacentral:rRNA from 1 species